rnacentral:rRNA from 1 species
AACGAACGCUGGCGGCAUGCCUAACACAUACGAGUCGAACGAGACCUUUGGGUCUAGUGGCGCACGGGUGCGUAACGCGUGGGAAUCUGCCCUUGGGUUCGGGAUAACAGUUGGAAACGACUGCUAAUACCGGAUGAUGUCUUCGGACCAAAGAUUUAUCGCCCAAGGAUGAGCCCGCGUAGGAUUAGCUUGUUGGUGAGGUAAGAGCUCACCAAGGCGACGAUCCUUAGCUGGUCUGAGAGGAUGAUCAGCCACACUGGGACUGAGACACGGCCCAGACUCCUACGGGAGGCAGCAGUGGGGAAUAUUGGACAAUGGGCGAAAGCCUGAUCCAGCAAUGCCGCGUGAGUGAUGAAGGCCUUAGGGUUGUAAAGCUCCUUUACCCGGGAUGAUAAUGACAGUACCGGGAGAAUAAGCCCCGGCUAACUCCGUGCCAGCCGCCGCGGUAA